rnacentral:rRNA from 1 species
UCUUGUACUCACCGCCCGUCAACUCAAGGGAGAUGGGAGUACCCGAAGGGUCGCAUUGCGGCACCACGGUAAGCUCAUCGACAGGGAGU